rnacentral:tRNA from 1 species
AGCCCAGUGGUUCAAUGGUAAAGCGCUCGUUGUGGAGCCAGAGGGUCCUGGGUUCGAUCCCCUAAGGGGUCG